UAGGGAAUCUUCGGCAAUGGGGGGAACCCUGACCGAGCAACGCCGCGUGAGCGAAGAAGGUUUUCGGAUCGUAAAGCUCUGUUGUUAAGGAAGAACGAGUGUGAGAAUGGAAAGUUCAUGCUGUGACGGUACUUAACCAGAAAGGGACGGCUAACUACGUGCCAGCAGCCGCGGUAAUACGUAGGUCCCGAGCGUUGUCCGGAUUUAUUGGGCGUAAAGCGAGGGCAGGCGGUUGGAAAAGUCUGAAGUGAAAGGCAGUGGCUCAACCAUUGUAGGCUUUGGAAACUGUUUAACUUGAGUGCAGAAGGGGAGGGUGGAAUUCCAUGUGUAGCGGUGAAAUGCGUAGAGAUAUGGAGGAACACCGGUGGCGAAAGCGGCUCUCUGGUCUGUAACUGACGCUGAGGCUCGAAAGCGUGGGGAGCGAACAGG
rnacentral:rRNA from 1 species